rnacentral:ncRNA from 1 species
UUACAGGCAGAGAAGGGGACCAGUACCGCCGGCCCAAAGUCCCAAGAGAGCUUUCGUUUGCUGAGAGAAAGCGGCUUUUCCGGCGGGAAUACACCCCUGAGCCGCCCUUUUGAACCCGGUUUUGACCGGCAGUAGGGAGGGCCGUCCGGCGCCCGUUACCGCGCCCCAACGAGGCCGUCGCCCCUUCAACAUGGGUCGGGAGACGGCAAACUGAGGUGGUACCGCGCGUGAAAACUCGCCCUCUGU